rnacentral:rRNA from 1 species
AUUUUCGGGGGGCUACACAUGCAGUCGAGCGGAUGAAGGGAGCUUGCUCCUGGAUUCAGCGGCGGACGGGUGAGUAAUGCCUAGGAAUCUGCCUGGUAGUGGGGGAUAACGUCCGGAAACGGGCGCUAAUACCGCAUACGUCCUGAGGGAGAAAGUGGGGGAUCUUCGGACCUCACGCUAUCAGAUGAGCCUAGGUCGGAUUAGCUAGUUGGUGGGGUAAAGGCCUACCAAGGCGACGAUCCGUAACUGGUCUGAGAGGAUGAUCAGUCACACUGGAACUGAGACACGGUCCAGACUCCUACGGGAGGCAGCAGUGGGGAAUAUUGGACAAUGGGCGAAAGCCUGAUCCAGCCAUGCCGCGUGUGUGAAGAAGGUCUUCGGAUUGUAAAGCACUUUAAGUUGGGAGGAAGGGCAGUAAGUUAAUACCUUGCUGUUUUGACGUUACCAACAGAAUAAGCACCGGCUAACUUCGUGCCAGCAGCUUAGGUAAUAAAAA